AUUGAACGCUGGCGGCAGGCUUAACACAUGCAAGUCGAGCGGGGUGAUGGUGCUUGCACUAUCACUUAGCGGCGGACGGGUGAGUAAUGCUUAGGAAUCUGCCUAUUAGUGGGGGACAACAUCUCGAAAGGGAUGCUAAUACCGCAUACGUCCUACGGGAGAAAGCAGGGGAUCACUUGUGACCUUGCGCUAAUAGAUGAGCCUAAGUCGGAUUAGCUAGUUGGUGGGGUAAAGGCCUACCAAGGCGACGAUCUGUAGCGGGUCUGAGAGGAUGAUCCGCCACACUGGGACUGGGACACGGCCCAGACUCCUACGGGAGGCAGCAGUGGGGAAUAUUAGACAAUGGGGGGAACCCUGAUCCAGCCAUGCCGCGUGUGUGAAGAAGGCCUUAUGGUUGUAAAGCACUUUAAGCGAGGAGGAGGCUCUUUUGGUUAAUACCCAAGAUGAGUGGACGUUACUCGUAGAAUAAGCACCGGCUAACUCUGUGCCAGCCGCCGCGGUAA
rnacentral:rRNA from 1 species